UAGGGAAUCUUCCACAAUGGACGCAAGUCUGGUGGAGCAACGCCGCGUGAGUGAAGAAGGUUUUCGGACCGUAAAGCUCUGUUGUUGGUGAAGAAGGAUAGAGGUAGUAACUGGCCUUUAUUUGACGGUAAUCAACCAGAAAGUCACGGCUAACUACGUGCCAGCAGCCGCGGUAAUACGUAGGUGGCAAGCGUUGUCCGGAUUUAUUGGGCGUAAAGCGAGCGCAGGCGGAAGAAUAAGUCUGAUGUGAAAGCCCUCGGCUUAACCGAGGAAUUGCAUCGGA
rnacentral:rRNA from 1 species